GUAAUCAAUUUUCACCCUACAGCCCAAGACUGGUUGCCUACUGAAGCUAAACAGGGUUGAGCCUGUUCAGUACCUGGAUGGGAGACCUCCUGGGAAAACUAGGUUACUGAUUGAA
rnacentral:rRNA from 1 species